GAUGAACGCUGGCGGCGUGCCUAAUACAUGCAAGUCGAGCGAACGGACGAGAAGCUUGCUUCUCUGAUGUUAGCGGCGGACGGGUGAGUAACACGUGGAUAACCUACCUAUAAGACUGGGAUAACUUCGGGAAACCGUAGCUAAUACCGGAUAAUAUUUUGAACCGCAUGGUUCAAAAGUGAAAGACGGUCUUGCUGUCACUUAUAGAUGGAUCCGCGCUUCAUUAGCUAGUUGGUAAGGUAACGGCUUACCAAGGCAACGAUGCAUAGCCGACCUGAGAGGGUGAUCGGCCACACUGGAACUGAGACACGGUCCAGACUCCUACGGGAGGCAGCAGUAGGGAAUCUUCCGCAAUGGGCGAAAGCCUGAUGGAGCAACGCCGCGUGAGUGAUGAAGGUCUUCGGAUCGUAAAACUCUGUUAUUAGGGAAGAACAUAUGUGUAAGUAACUGUGCACAUCUUGACGGUACCUAAUCAGAAAGCCACGGCUAACUACGUG
rnacentral:rRNA from 1 species